UACGUAGGGUGCGAGCGUUGUCCGGAAUUAUUGGGCGUAAAGAGCUCGUAGGCGGCGUGUCGCGUCGGCCGUGAAAACCUGGGGCUCAACUCUGGGCGUGCGGUCGAUACGGGCAUCACUGGAGUUCGGCAGGGGAGACUGGAAUUCCUGGUGUAGCGGUGAAAUGCGCAGAUGUCAGGAGGAACACCGGUGGCGAAGGCGGGUCUCUGGGCCGAUACUGACGCUGAGGAGCGAAAGCAUGGGUAGCGAACAGG
rnacentral:rRNA from 1 species